rnacentral:rRNA from 1 species
AGUGAACGCUGGCGGUAGGCCUAACACAUGCAAGUCGAACGGCAGCACAGGAGAGCUUGCUCUCUGGGUGGCGAGUGGCGGACGGGUGAGGAAUACAUCGGAAUCUACCUUUUCGUGGGGGAUAACGUAGGGAAACUUACGCUAAUACCGCAUACGGCCUACGGGUGAAAGUGGGGGACCGCAAGGCCUCACGCGAUUAGAUGAGCCAAUGUCCGAUUAGCUAGUUGGCGGGGUAAUGGCCCGCCAAGGCGACGAUCGGUAGCUGGUCUGAGAGGAAGAUCAGCCACACUGGAACUGAGACACGGUCCAGACUCCUACGGGAGGCAGCAGUGGGGAAUAUUGGACAAUGGGCGCAAGCCUGAUCCAGCCAUACCGCGUGGGUGAAGACGGCCUUCGGGUUGUAAAGCUCUGUCAGGAGGGACGAAGCCACUCAGGUGAAUAGCCGAGAGGGUGACGGUACCUCCAGAGGAAGCCCCGGCUAACUACGUGCCAGCAGCCGCAGUAACAC